GUGAUUGUGUGAGUGCUUCAGUUUUAGAAGUCAGUAAACAAUUGUGGUUUGUAAGUCAUUUUGGGGACAGAAAUAUCAGCUGAGUGAGAUUAGACGACCAGCAGUCUCAAUGAUGUUAUUUCUGGGUCAUGGUCCCUUGCCCUCACCUCUUCCGGUCUGCCACCAUCAUUUUUGAAUCAGUGAUUAUAUGACUACUGCCUGCAUAAUAUCUUCUAUUUCCUUGAUCAUUUGCCCUUUUUUCUAUCAAUUAUAUGGGGUUUGCCACCAAGGUGCCCCACAUCUUUA